CCGGCCUCCCUCGCAGCUCACAGUCUCAGCGGGGGACAGUGCCAGAGUUGGGUUCUUACCCACCAGAGAGGCUCCCAGGCCCCUCUCAGACCAGACUGAAGCAGAAUUCUCCUCUCUGCCUUCUAGAAUGUCUCGUAAAAGCUGCUCCUCUUGGGGAGGCUCUGGGCUUUGGAGAGAGCACCUGGAAUUCCCCACUAGAAAAGCCCAAAAACUGAAAAAUAUUCAUUACGUAUUUUCAAUACAGAGUUCCUGACGUUUUCCAGCAGAGGGCGCUAGAGAAGAGCCGGCCAAACCUGCAGAGCGUUGACCAAAGUCACAAGAGUAAACCAAACGCCUCGCCCUACCAGGCGUCUCCCCACCAGCUCGACCCCGCGGAUUUCUCCCACAGAACACAGCCCCAGCCCUGGGCCUCCACGUGUGGCAGAGCAGGGAGCAGGCCCUGGGACACUUUCCUACUCAACAAAUACACUGCACUUGGUGGAUCAGCAGGCACCAUCCAGAUCGAUAAACUGGCUCAUCUGAUCUUAUGGUCUGCACCCAGGAACUGACUCAGCCCAGGAGGACAGCUUUGAUUCCCUAUGAUUGCAUCUCUGACCCAACCAAUCAGCACUCCUGACUCACUGGCUCCACCACCCACCAACUUAUCCUUAAAAACUCUUAUCCCUGAAUGCUCAGGGAGACUGAUUUGAGUAAUAAUAAAAUUCUGGUCUCCCAAACAGCC
rnacentral:lncRNA from 1 species